GACAAUUAUUCCCUCUGGUUUUGGAAUUUAACUUACUUUUUUUUAACUUUCAGAUAGUUAUGAUGUGCAACCAUGGCUACAAGCUACUGUUUCUACAUCUGGGAGCAGCCGAUUAGCAUAUGAAAAGCUCAAAUAACAACCUGAACUCUGACCCCAAAUCCCAGAGGAGACAGUGAGAAAUACUCAGAGAAUAAUCAAAUCAGGGCUGGUAAAAUAAAUACAACAAAAUAUCAGAAAAUCCCAGAGGACAAUUUUCUUUUGUCUGCAGGAGAGCGACAGCUUCAGAAAACAUUUAUUAUUCAUCAUGACGACGAGCCGAAGCAUCCAAAAACAUAAACAAGCUGGUCAGCAAUGACAUGAAAUGGUUCAUUACUGUUGUGCCACAAACAAUUAGUCAAUAAUUUAGAAUAUCUAGUGAAAUGUGCGUAAAAAAACUAAUCUUUCUUCCCAAUAGAAGUCAUUUUACAGUUUGGACACCUCUUGAAAGAUGUCCGUUUCAUUUUCAUUUUUCUCUCUCUAGCACUUUGAUCUACUGUGGUUAUUCUAACGUCCUUUAUAAAUAAAAGCAGAUUGGAAAAUGACUUUCCCGUUUUCUUUUUACAGAAACACAUACCGCAAUAUUACACGCAAAACUGUAAUACAGGGCUUUAAUGAGUAAUUCUCAAAAAUGAAAAUACACAUUUGUAAAACCAAAGCCGUAAACUGACAGCACAGGUCACGUGUUCUCAGGGUUGCUGCUGGAACAAUCUAAGCGCGCUAAAACAUUAGCACAGGACCCGCCAGGACCCGCGCACUGCGGGACAGAAACGCAACAAACCCGCACAGCUUGCGGUAUUAAAGAGCAGAAGGAGAAACGAUGCGUCGGUGCCGAUCAAUGGUAAAAGCUCCUCUUGUUUAGUCAGUUGACGUUAGCCAAGUAGCCGCUGCUAGCUUGUGAGGAAACUUGUCUGUUGAUCCAGACUUUCCCACCCACCAGCUCAUGUUAGCCGCCCGGGAAAUAGUUUUUCCAAGGCGUUGGCUGUCAGACUCAUUGGGGUUGGUCUUCUCACUGCAUGCUAAAAAUACCCAGACCCUUCUAAAGUGUGGAUACCUCCUACGGGCCCGCGCUUAUAACCCCCCGGACCAGCUACCCGACAUAGGCGUGCCCGACGUUAGCCCCAUAAAACCAGAGGUUUAUGCCCAGUGCAUAAAACAAAUGACAUAAACUUACCUCACUGUAACGCCGAGGCCGGCUGCACGAUGGCACAGUGCAAUGUCUCCUACGCCGCGAAGGCACGCAACCGAGGACGCAGCCGCCGCGGUGCAUUGUGGUUGCUGUAGUCUGUCUUCUUCGCACCUUUUGGCGCUCCUACGGCUGCUGACACUCAAUUUGUUGUAUUACCGCCAUCUACUGGAUCUACUGGAUGACAGGAAGAAGAGGCUUGUACACUCUGAGAGCACUGACUACACAACUGAAGAUGUUGCGGUAAACCUGCAACCAGAGCACAA